rnacentral:rRNA from 1 species
UACAGAGGGUGCAAGCGUUGUUCGGAAUUAUUGGGCAUAAAGGGUGCGUAGGCGGUGCGGUAAGUCUGUAGUGAAAUCUCUGGGCUCAACUCAGAGUCUGCUAUAGAAACUGCCGUGCUAGAGUAUGGGAGAGGUGAGUGGAAUUCCCGGUGUAGCGGUGAAAAUGCGUAGAUAUCGGGAGGAACACCUGUGGCGAAAGCGGCUCACUGGACCACAACUGACGCUGAUGCACGAAAGCUAGGGGAGCAAACAGG